GACGAACGCUGGCGGCGUGCUUAACACAUGCAAGUCGAACGGAAAGGCCCUGCUUUUGUGGGGUGCUCGAGUGGCGAACGGGUGAGUAACACGUGAGUAACCUGCCCUUGACUUUGGGAUAACUUCAGGAAACUGGGGCUAAUACCGGAUAGGAGCUCCUGCUGCAUGGUGGGGGUUGGAAAGUUUCGGCGGUUGGGGAUGGACUCGCGGCUUAUCAGCUUGUUGGUGGGGUAGUGGCUUACCAAGGCUUUGACGGGUAGCCGGCCUGAGAGGGUGACCGGCCACAUUGGGACUGAGGUACCGCCCAGACUCCUACGGGGGGCAGCAGGGGGGAAUAUUGCACAAUGGGGCGAAGCCUGAUGCAGCAACGCCGCGUGCGGGAUGACGGCCUUCGGGUUGUAAACCGCUUUCGCCUGUGACGAAGCGUGAGUGACGGUAAUGGGUAAAGAAGCACCGGCUAAUUACGUG
rnacentral:rRNA from 1 species